rnacentral:rRNA from 1 species
GAGUAACACGUGGUUAACCUAUCGGAAUGUGGGGGAUACCCCGGGGAAACUCGGGACAAUACCGCAUUCGUUCCCUCGGGCGCGAGCUCGGGGGAAGAAAGCCGGGGACCGCAAGGCCUGGCGCAUUCCGAGGGGACCGCGGCCGAUUAGCUAGUUGGCGGGGUAAUGGCCCACCAAGGCGUCGAUCGGUAGCCGGCCUGAGAGGGUGAUCGGCCACACCGGAACUGAGACACGGUCCGGACUCCUACGGGAGGCAGCAGUGGGGAAUUUUGCGCAAUGGGCGAAAGCCUGACGCAGCAACGCCGCGUGGAGGAUGAAGGUGCUUUGCAUUGUAAACUCCUGUCGGCCGGGAAGAAUUGGCGGGGUGCUAAUCAGCCCCGUCUUGACUGUACCGGCAAAGGAAGCCCCGGCUAACUCCGUGCCAGCAGCCGCGGUAAUACGGAGGGGGCAAGCGUUACUCGGAAUUAUUGGGCGUAAAGGGCGCGUAGGCGGUCUUGUGCGUCGGAGGUGAAAUCCCCGGGCUUAACCCGGGAGCUGCCUCCGAUACGGCGAGACUUGAGUCCGGGAGAGGGGAGCAGAAUUCCCAGUGUAGCGGUGAAAUGCGUAGAUAUUGGGAGGAAUACCGGUGGCGAAGGCGGCUCCCUGGACCGGUACUGACGCUGAGGCGCGAAAGCGUGGGUAGCAAACAGGAUUAGAUACCCUGGUAGUCCACGCCGUAAACGAUGGGUGCUUGGUGUCGGGGGUAUCGACCCCUCCGGUGCCGAAGCUAACGCAUUAAGCACCCCGCCUGGGGAGUACGGUCGCAAAGCUGAAACUUAAAG